ensembl:lncRNA
AGGAGUUUCAGAUAAGACAUUAAGAGAAGGCGCCAGGCAGACCUUGUAACGGCCUUCCAGAACCUGAAGGCGUCCUGCACGAAGGCUGGGGAGGGACUUUCCAUAAGGGCGUGUGGCGACAAAGACAAGGGGAAAUGGCUUUAAACUGGAAGUGGGUAGAUUUAGGCUACAUAGUAGAAAGAGAUUUGUUACUGUGUGGAUGGUGAGAUACUGGCACAGGCUGCCCUGAGGGGUUGUGGAUGGCACCCAUGUCAUACUGUGGGCAGAAAGUUUGCAGUCAGCAGAGGGGGUGGGUAGGGCCAUCCAUUUGGUAUGGGGACAGGUUGGAUGAGGACCCUGUCCUGAAGUGAGGUGGGGGCAUCCCUCCAACAUGGAGCUGAGAUGGCUCUCCGGCAUGCAAUGAGGAUGUCCCUGUGGAGACGAGGGGGCAAGCUCAAUCUCUUCACCUACAGCCAGGCGUGACCACCUCAAGGCAAACAUCAGCUGCCCUCUUGCGAGGAUCCCGCUGGUGGCUUGUCCCGUCUGUCCUUGGUUGGGUGGCUCUGGCCCCCAGCAGCCUGAGAUGUCUGAGGGGCUGGACCCGCUCUGGGACUUCAGUGCCAACCAGGAGUGCCCUCCCUGUUCCCACAUGUCCCCCACACUGCCCUUCUCCCUCACCCGCUCCUCCCUGAACCAGUGAACACUCCAGGACCGCUACCCAAACUGUACUGGAAGAAGGGUUGAGGCCACCCUUUGGCGGUUAUGCCUCCCCAGUGCUCAAAGUAGCACCGCUCCCAGUGCUCCCAGUGUACUCCAUUGUCACCAGUACUCCUUAGUAACCCCCACAGUCCUCAGCGCCCCCCAGCCACCCCU